rnacentral:rRNA from 1 species
CUAAGAAUCUUCCGCAAUGGGCGAAAGCCUGACGGAGCGACGCCGCGUGGAUGAGGAAGGCCGAAAGGUUGUAAAAUCCUUUUCUCCGUGAAGAAUAAGCGAGGGAGGAAAUGCCCUUGUGAUGACGUUAGCGGAGGAAUAAGCCCCGGCUAAUUACGUGCAAGCAGCCGCGGUAAUACGUAAGGGGCGAGCGUGGUUCGGAAUUAUUGGGUGUAAAGGGCGCGUAGGCGGCCCGGCAAGUCUGGUGUUUAAGGCUACGGCUUAACCGUAGUUUGGCGCUGGAAACUCGUGGGCUUUAGUUUAGGAGGGGGAGCUGGAAUUCCAGGUGUAGGGGUGAAAUCUGUAGAUAUCUGGAAGAACACCGGUGGCGAAGGCGAGCUCCUGGCCAUAGACUGACGCUGAGGCGCGAAAGCGUGGGGAGCGAACA